AUAUAUUUAUGUAGCGACUGUCUUAAAAGUCAAGCGAUCGUGAACAAAAAACCGGGACUGUGAACAUUGACGCAACAGGGGAACGCUGCGCUAGAUUCGGUGGUGGCUGGUA
rnacentral:rRNA from 1 species